rnacentral:lncRNA from 1 species
UGAAUAAGCACAUGAAAAGAUGCUUGACGUUAUUAGUCAUUAGGAAAAUGCAAAUCAAAACCACAAUAAGAUACUACCUCAUACUCACUAGAAUGGCUAGAAUCAAAAACAGAGAGAAUAACAAGUAUUAAUGACAAAGUGGAGAAAUUGGAAUGCUCUUAGAAUUCUUAGAACUUAGAAUUACCAUAUGACUCAGCAAUUCCACUCCUAGUUAUAUACCCAAACGACUUGAUAACAGGGACUCAAACAGAUACUGGUACACCAGGGCUCAUUGCUACAUUUUUCACAAUAACCAAAAGAACGUUGAGAAAUGUGCCCAACUUAAAAAGAAAAGGAAAACUCCUUUUGCAGCUUGCUUUGCAGAAAGGGUUGACCAAUGAGGUAUCAAUGGGAGUUUUUAUGUCCAGCUUCUGGGAGAGCUCUUUUGCCCUCUCUUUCCUUUCCUUCUAACUGAAAUACAGUUCUGAUACGUGGCAUCCAACCACCAUCUUGGACUACUGAGGAGAACCUGAGGAUAGAAGUCAUUCACUAAAAUGGCUGGAGAGGAAAGAGGGAAGAGCCUGAAUCUAAGGAUGGUGGAGCUUCCAUUCCAACUGUUGACCACCUACCUUCUAUCUUCAUUUACUCCAGAGACAAUUAAACUAUAACUUGAUUAAUUGAUUAAACCAUGUUAUUUGAGUUUUCUCUUACAUACAACCAAGCCUAGUCACAACUAAUAUAGCCAUGUUAUAGCUGUGAGACUUUUAGCAACUCAUUUCUCUAUACCUCAGUUUACUCAUCUGUAAAAAUGGACCCAAUAACAGUAUUGACUCAGAGAGCUGUUAUAAGGAUUAAAUGAGUUAAUAUAUGUAAACAGCUUAGAAUUGUAGCCAACACAGACUAAAGACUCAAUGAAUCCUCUAUUGUUACUAUUCACUUGUACCACCUAUAAUAUAAUACCUGCAGAAUAAAUGAGAAAAGGAGUAUGAAGAGGAGAAAUAACAUUUGUUUCCCACCGCCUUCUUCAGAGAUGAAAGACCUGGGUAAAGAGCAUAACAGAACAUGUAACACAUCAUCCUUCUCAAUUAAAAGCACUUUGCAGAUUACAGGUCAUUCUGUAAAGAUACUCGAGUUGUUCUAAUCCUUACCAGAGCUCUGAGAUGAGGGUGAAAGUUGAAACUUGCUUAAGUCAACAGGUCAUUUGCUUGCUGGCUCAAGAGCUGGAGCCCCAAGUUCACUGUUCCAAUAAAGGCCAAGUUGGCUUGGUUCUAGUUCAUGACCCUAGGCACGACAGUAUACUUAGCUUUGGUUAAUUGUCCUCUGAAUAGGAUUCUAAAUUUAAAUCGUGUGGGAGAAGACAUGAGGAGGUCUGAGCCAUGCUCCUGAGAAGCUCCAGGCAUCUUCCUUCUCCUGCUGUGACUGGCUCCACCUGCCAGCAGGUGUGUGGGGGUUGUAACUAAGCCUUUUUGUUUUUUAAAGGGAAAUUUCCUGAAUUUUUUCAAGGAAUCUAUUUUUUCCUCCAGCUAAUUUAUUUAAAAGCCUUCUGAGCCUUUGGGUCUUAACUUUAGGAUGACUCCCCAGUGAGCUCUGUUCACAUCUUAAUAUAAUAAUGAUAACAGCUAAUAUUUUUUAAGCUCUCAUUAUAGGUGAGGUACCAUUUUAAGUGCUUACUCAUAUCAUCCUACUUAAUCCUCACAAAACUCCGCAAAGUACUAUUGUAUUUGCCUUUUACAGAUAAUCACCCUGAGGCACAAACAGUGGAGUGACCUACUUACUCAAAGUCACUAGGAGGGGUGGUGGCAGAGCCAGGUGAGACCCCAUGGUCCUAGCCACCACCCAGUACUCUUGUCUCAUAUUUAAAAACUCUCCACUAUCUGCCUUUACUUUUCAAGCCUCAACCACUCGGAAGGGCCUGGGCGUGUUUCUUUGCUCAGGUGCCUUUGAUUGUGGUCAUAUUUGAAUCUUGUUAUUCUACAUGCCAGUCUUCCAUUACUCACAAAAGAUAAUAAAAUCCCUUAGGUGAUGUCUUCCACUGCAUCAGCUACCCAGGUUGUUCUGUAACCUCGAACUCCUGGGCUCAAGCACCCCUCCUGCCUCAGCCUUCUCACUCGUGGGGUAUCCUUUUUCUUCCCCAAGCAUUGUAAACUUAUCCCUAGACUCCACUUUUUAAAUCCUCGUCUGGACACUAGGGCCUUUUCAUUGUGUUAGGGAGACUCAGAAAAGGAAAAUGUUAUAAAAGACCAGUUUUCCCUGAUGGCUAAACAAUUAGUGGCAUAAUUUACCAAAGAAUUGUAGCCUGUGAGACACAAGAUGCUGAAUACAGCCAAGCAAAUACUUUCUCUACUCUUCUUAGCUUAGGAAAGUGGAUAUGAAAGGAAGGAUGUUAACUGUCUCAGGCUAUGUCAUGGGCAUUUGCCUUUGACAGAAGGACCUCCUAGGAUGAGGGGAGGUGGUGCUGACAGCAAGCAGAAGGAGAAGAGGACCCAACAGCUGGCUGCUCUUCAUCCCUCAGAGAAUGGCAUGGAAAGAGAGCAAAUAAUUUCAAAAUACAUGGAAAAACAUUUAGAUAGCACAGGCAAUUUAUUUGGAACCUCCAUAUCAGGAAAUUGCUUCUCUAAUGCAGUGACUUACUACUGAAAAGAAAAAAGUCUCUCAUGUUUGCAAAAUGGGCUUUGUACAGUGCCUCACACUGAGACCUAGAGAUCUAAUGAGAAUGUGGAUUAUUAAAUUUCUCACAGGGAGGAAAGGGGCCCAGGAAGUGUCUCCCAGAUCUGGUUCACAGCCUAAGGAAAAAAAUGCUUAUGCCUUACUAUCAAAGGGUAGAAGAAAAUAGCAUUAAUCUCCAUUGUCCUGAUUAAUCACUCCUAAAGGUAUAAACAGAAAGUUCAGGUCGGUUACCACCCUCCUAGGAGUGCCAGCAUAUUUUACAGUCCACAAAAUCCGGCGCAAAUCUCCCUUCCCCAUUCAUACCUCAGAGACAGAAGAGUAAGCCAAGUUAUUUGAACUAUGAUUUUGCUAUUCGUAUAUAUCAAAGCGCUUUCAUGUUCUCACAAAACUUGAGUUCCCGAAAGUAAGAUUGAUGCCCUGCCAGGAAAAUUGGCUUUAAAGUAGUCCCACUACUGCUAUUGAGUAAACCUUUCAGAAGAGCCCUCAAGGCUUAAGAAAUCAGACAUAGCAGAGCCCCUACAGAACUAAAACACAUUUCCCCCUAACCAGGAUUCACCUGCACUUCAGGCUGGGACUUUUUUCCUAGGGCUCAAUACUCACCUCCUGCCUGGCGAGGUAUCUUUCCUCCCAAGCUCCCUCAACACCUUUUACACAUCUGUCGUGAUACAUAACUUCUUGUACUGAAAUUGUCUAUUGAUACAUUUGUCUCUCCCCAAUUACACCACACUGUCCUUGAGCAGCAAACAGAAUCUUUUUCAGUUUUAUUAGGUUGGUGCAAAAGUAAUUGCAGUUUUGCACUGCAAUUACUUUUGCACCAACUUAAUAGCUUCCCAGUGCUUACAAUACAUAGUAGGUGCUAGUUAAUAUUUGUUGAAUUUAAUGGAAUUGAAUUCAUCUGGCCAGUUUUCCUGCCCAGCCUGGAAUGGCACUGGAACAAGUACCAUACAAGGCUCCACACCCAGCUAUGCUGCCAUUCUGGUGACCUUUACUAAGCCCUUCCCUAUGGCAGAUAUCAUUACUAUAUAACCCAGGAAUCAUAAAAGUUGCCACCUGGAUCAGUAGAAACAAUAAAAACAUAUAUCCCUGUCUAUAAAGUGCCCUAAGCUCUUCAGAGGAGAGAACGAUGGGUUUGGUUCAAGGUUUCUAUAAAGAAGAUGGUAUAUUAGCCAGCACAGUAGAAUCCCACAAAUACGACAGGACUUUACUACAUGGUGUAUACUUUUUUUAAAAAAAUAAGCUUUUUAAUUUAGAAAAGUUUUAGAUUUACAGAAAAAUUGCAAAUAUAGUACAGAGUUCCCAACUAUUCUGCACCCGUUUCCCCUUUCAUUGACAUCUUACAUUAGCAUGGUAAAUUUGCCACAAUUAAUGAGCCAAUACUGAUGCAUUAUUAUUAACUAUAUUCAGAUUUCCUUAGGUUUUACCUGGUGUCCUUUUUCUUUCCAGGAUCCCAUCCAGGAUACUACGUUACAAAUAAUUCUCCUAUCUCUUCUUGGCGGUGACACUUUCUCAGACUUUCCUUGUUCUUGAUGACUGUGACAGUUUUAAGGAGUACUGGUCAGGUAUUUUGUAGGAUGCCCCUCUUUUUUCUUUUUUGAGGUGGAGUUUUGCUCUUGUUGCCCAGGCUGGAGUGCAAUGGCGCGAUCUCGGCUCACUGCAACCUCCGCCUCCCGGGAUCAAGCGAUUAUCCUGCCUCAGCAUCCUGAGUAGCUGGGAUUACAGGCAUGUGCCACCACGCCUGGUUAAUUUUUUUGUAUUUUUAGUAGAGAUGGGGUUUCUUCAUGUUGGUCAGGCUGGUCUCGAACCCCCGACCUCAGGUGAUCUGCCUGCCUCGGCCUCCCAAAGUGCUGGGAUUACAGGCAUGAGCCAUCGUGCCCGGCCAAGAACAUGAUUUUUAAAGUUGACAUAUACCAGCUAGGAAUUAGAAAGAACUUCUUAGUAUCUAAAAAAAAAAAAA